UACGAAGGGGGCUAGCGUUGCUCGGAAUUACUGGGCGUAAAGCGCACGUAGGCGGCUUUCUAAGUCGGGGGUGAAAUCCUGGAGCUCAACUCCAGAACUGCCUUCGAUACUGGAGAGCUUGAGUCCGGGAGAGGUGAGUGGAACUGCGAGUGUAGAGGUGAAAUUCGUAGAUAUUCGCAAGAACACCAGUGGCGAAGGCGGCUCACUGGCCCGGUACUGACGCUGAGGGUGGACGAAAGCGGUGGGGAGCAAACAGGGAUUAGAA
rnacentral:rRNA from 1 species